rnacentral:rRNA from 1 species
AAGCACUUUGUUUUGAAUCUUCGGAGGAAGAACGAAGUGACUGAGCGGCGGACGGGUGAGUAACGCGUGGGCAACCUGCCUCAUACAGGGGGAUAACAGUUAGAAAUGACUGCUAAUACCGCAUAAGACCACGGUGCUGCAUGGUACAGUGGUAAAAACUCCGGUGGUAUGAGAUGGGCCCGCGUCUGAUUAGCUAGUUGGUGAGGUAACGGCUCACCAAGGCAACGAUCAGUAGCCGACCUGAGAGGGUGACCGGCCACAUUGGGACUGAGACACGGCCCAAACUCCUACGGGAGGCAGCAGUGGGGAAUAUUGCACAAUGGGGGAAACCCUGAUGCAGCGACGCCGCGUGAGCGAUGAAGUAUUUCGGUAUGUAAAGCUCUAUCAGCAGGGAAGAAAAUGACGGUACCUGACUAAGAAGCCCCGGCUAACUACGUGCCAGCAGCCGCGGUAAUACGUAGGGGGCAAGCGUUAUCCGGAUUUACUGGGUGUAAAGGGAGCGUAGACGGCGAUGCAAGCCAGAUGUGAAAGCCCGGGGCUCAACCCCGGGACUGCAUUUGGAACUGUAUAGCUAGAGUGUCGGAGAGGCAGGCGGAAUUCCUAGUGUAGCGGUGAAAUGCGUAGAUAUUAGGAGGAACACCAGUGGCGAAGGCGGCCUGCUGGACGAUGACUGACGUUGAGGCUCGAAAGCGUGGGGAGCAAACAGGAUUAGAUACCCUGGUAGUCCACGCCGUAAACGAUGACUACUAGGUGUCGGGCAGCAAAGCU